rnacentral:rRNA from 1 species
CAGUCGCCGCGGGAAUACGUAGGUGGCAAGCGUUGUCCGGAAUUAUUGGGCGUAAAGCGCGCGCAGGCGGAUAGGUCAGUCUGUCUUAAAAGUUCGGGGCUUAACCCCGUGAUGGGAUGGAAACUGCCAAUCUAGAGUAUCGGAGAGGAAAGUGGAAUUCCUAGUGUAGCGGUGAAAUGCGUAGAUAUUAGGAAGAACACCAGUGGCGAAGGCGACUUUCUGGACGAAAACUGACGCUGAGGCGCGAAAGCCAGGGGAGCGAACGGGAUUAGAGACCCCAGUAGUCCCUGUCUCUUAUACA